rnacentral:rRNA from 1 species
AGCGAACGCUGGCGGCAGGCCUAAAACAUGCAAGUCGAACGCCCUAGCAAUAGGGAGUGGCAGACGGGUGAGUAACACGUGGGAACGUGCCUUUUGGUUCGGAACAACACAGGGAAACUUGUGCUAAUACCGGAUAAGCCCUUACGGGGAAAGAUUUAUCGCCAAAAGAUCGGCACGCGUCUGAUUAGCUGGUUGGAGGGCUAACCGCCCACCAAGGCUACGAUCAGUAGCUGGUCUGAGAGGAUGAUAAGCCACACUGGGACUGAGACACGGCCCCGACUCCUCCGGGAGGCAGCAGUUAGGAAUCUUGGACAAUGGGCGCAAGCCUGAUCCAGCCAUGCCGCGUGAGUGAUGAAGGCCUUAGGGUUGUAAAGCUCUUUCAGCGGGGAAGAUCAUGACGGUACCCGCAGAAGAAGCCCCGGCUAACUUCGUGCCAGCCGCCGCCGUAA